rnacentral:ncRNA from 1 species
AUAAAGGCUUUGAUCAGGAAGAGUACUUAAUUUUUAUACUUAAAGAGAGUGGGAGUUGCUGUGAGCCCAUAGUAGAUACUUAGGGAAAAUCACCUGUGAGCUGAGGACUGAAAUUGAAAGUAAGUCUGUCCGUGUUAUACGUUAAAAUAUAGGGUAUGAUUGUACCUGAAUUUUACUAUUUAGGUGGUAUAGCGAAUUAACUUCGUCCUAUUG